GUAGUCUCGCACAGAUGCAUAUCAAUAAGCGGAGGAAAAGAAACUAACAAGGAUUCCCUUAGUAACGGCGAGUGAAGCGGGAAGAGCUCAAAUUUGAAAUCUUCAAGGUUUUACCUUGACGAAUUGUAGUUUAAAGAAGUGUUUUCUGUUGAAGUUUUGGUAAAAGUUCUUUGGAAUAGGACAUCAUAGAGGGUGAGAAUCCCGUAUUUGACCAUUACUUUCAGCUGUGUGAUACACUUUCAAAGAGUCGGAUUGUUUGGGAAUGCAGUCCAAAAUGGGUGGUAAAUUUCAUCUAAAGCCUAAAUAUUGGCGAGAGACCGAUAGCGAACAAGUACCGUGAGGGAAAGAUGAAAAGAACAUUGAAAAGAGAGUUAAACAGUACGUGAAAUUGUCAAAAGGGAAGCGUUUGACACCAGUGUUGUUUUCUCGAAAAUCAAUUAAAAAGAGUUAGAUUUUGUUGUGUAUUGACCUUAACAGCUUGCAUUUCAAUUUUCUUGCUUUUUUUAAUGCACUUUUCGUUUAACAAGUCAACAUCAGUUUCUUUUGUUGUAAAAAGGUCAUUGGAAGGUGGCUUUCUUUUCGGAGAAAGUGUUUAUAGCCUUUGACUCCUGCAAUCGGAGAGACUGAGGUCUGCAGCGUAGAUCCUUCGGGGUUAGAUACAUUUGUGCUAAGUUAUAGCAUUUUAUAGACAACUUGUUGACUAUGAUUUAGUCUUGUAGCUUACUCGCUUAUGUUAUUUUACCUACGCUUAGGAUGUUGAUGUGAUACUGCGAGCA
rnacentral:rRNA from 1 species